rnacentral:rRNA from 1 species
CCCUUAGAUGUUCUGGGCAGCACGCGCGCUACAAUGGUCUUCGCAAACGGAUGCAUUCUCGAAGGAGAAUGCCAAUCUUGGAAUCUAUGCCUUGGUCGGGACAGUUGCUUGCAAUUUUUCGACUCGAACCAGGAAUUCCUUGUAAUCGUCAUUCAUCACAUCACGAUGAAUACGUCCCUGCCCUUUGUACACACCGCCCGUCGCUCCUACCGAUCGAAGAGUUAGGUGAAUUGUUUUGAUCGAUAAGAUUUGACUAUGGUCAACUCUCGUUGUGAAAUUCUGUGAAUCUGACUGUUUAGAGGAAGGAAAAGUCGUAACA